AUUGAACGCUGGCGGCAUGCCUUACACAUGCAAGUCGAACGGUAGCGGGCCUUCGGGUGCCGACGAGUGGCGAACGGGUGAGUAAUGUAUCGGAACGUACCUUUCAGUGGGGGAUAACGUAGCGAAAGUUGCGCUAAUACCGCAUAUUCUGUGAGCAGGAAAGCAGGGGAUCGCAAGACCUUGCGCUGAUUGAGCGGCCGAUAUCAGAUUAGCUAGUUGGUGAGGUAAAGGCUCACCAAGGCGACGAUCUGUAGCGGGUCUGAGAGGAUGAUCCGCCACACUGGAACUGAGCCACGGUCCAGACUCCUACGGAAGGCAGCAGUGGGGAAUUUUGGACAAUGGGGGCAACCCUGAUCCAGCCAUGCCGCGUGAGUGAAGAAGGCCUUCGGGUUGUAAAGCUCUUUCGGCCGGGAAGAAAUCGUAUCAGCUAAUACCUGGUGCGGAUGACGGUACCGGCAUAAGAAGCACCGGCUAACUACGUGCCAGCCGCCGCCGUAACAC
rnacentral:rRNA from 1 species